GACCGCGUAGCUCAGUUGGAAGAGCAAUUGGGCUAGUAUUCCAAAGGUCGUAGGUUCGAAUCCGGCCGUGGCCA
rnacentral:tRNA from 1 species